AUUGAACGCUGGCGGCAUGCCUUACACAUGCAAGUCGAACGGCAGCACGGGAGCAAUCCUGGUGGCGAGUGGCGAACGGGUGAGUAAUAUAUCGGAACGUGCCCAGUCGUGGGGGAUAACGCAGCGAAAGCUGUGCUAAUACCGCAUACGAUCUACGGAUGAAAGCGGGGGAUCGCAAGACCUCGCGCGAUUGGAGCGGCCGAUAUCAGAUUAGCUAGUUGGUGAGGUAAAGGCCCACCAAGGCGACGAUCUGUAGCUGGUCUGAGAGGACGACCAGCCACACUGGAACUGAGACACGGUCCAGACUCCUACGGGAGGCAGCAGUGGGGAAUUUUGGACAAUGGGCGAAAGCCUGAUCCAGCAAUGCCGCGUGCAGGAUGAAGGCCUUCGGGUUGUAAACUGCUUUUGUACGGAACGAAACGGUGAGCUCUAAUACAGUUUGCUAAUGACGGUACCGUAAGAAUAAGCACCGGCUAACUACGUGCCAGCCGCCGCGGUAAAAC
rnacentral:rRNA from 1 species